GAAUCAUUUAUCAUUCUUCUUUGUGGCACUCUUGUUCUCAUCUGCCACCGCCUUCGAUGUGAAGACCGUGUCCUUCGAUGAAGGAUAUUCUGCUCUGUUCGGCGGCAGCAACGUCGUCCGAUCAGAAGAUGGCGUUCAGUUGCGUCUCGACCGGUACACCGGUUCGGGUUUCAUAUCGUCAGAUUACUAUAAAUAUGGAUUGUUCAGUGCUUCCAUCAAGCUGCCCGCCGAUUACACCGCCGGAGUUGUCGUUGCUUUCUACACUUCGAACGGUGAUGUGUUUGACAAAACUCACGAUGAGCUGGAUUUUGAGUUCCUUGGUAACGUGAGAGGGCAACCAUGGAGAGUGCAGACUAAUGUUUAUGGCAAUGGGAGCACGAGUCGUGGCCGCGAGGAGCGAUAUACUCUCCCCUUUGAUCCAACAAAGGAGGCUCACCGAUACUCGAUCCUCUGGACGGCUGAUAAUAUCAUAUUCUACGUCGACAACAUCCCGAUCAGAGAGACUGUCCGAACCACCGCCAUGGGCGGUGACUUUCCAUCGAAGCCUAUGUCACUCUAUGCUACAAUAUGGGAUGGUUCAACCUGGGCCACUGGAGGGGGAAAAUACAAAGCAAACUACAAGUAUGCUCCCUUCAUCACUGAAUUCUCUGAUCUUGUCCUCCCAGGCUGCCGAACAGACACUCUCGAGCAACUACCUUCCGUGGAGCGGUGCCUUGAAGCUGAAUCAGAGCUUGCUACUGCCGAAUAUGCAGUGAUGACACCUAGGAAGCGAGCAGCAAUGCUCCGUUUUCGGGAGCGAUAUAUGACAUAUUCUUUCUGCUAUGAUACAUUACGGUAUCCGAUACCAUUUCCAGAUUGCAACAUUAUCCCAUCAGAGCAGAGGAGGUUCCGGGAGAGUGGAAAUGUUAAGUUUGCCACACACCCGCGACGAACCAAGAGGCGGAGUAGGAUGCAGAAGCCCACAGACCCUAGCAGAGAAGCAGAGAUAUGAAUGGAAUUGGUAAAGAAUGGAAUUGGUGAAGAUGAGCUUCCUGAUCAGAGGAGGAAUUGAAAUUUGGUAUAUGAGGUGUUGUGAUAUAUAUUCUUUGGUGUAAUUAUCGGUGAUAGAGUGAGUUGUAA
rnacentral:misc_RNA from 1 species